GCUUAUCACCAUUACAGAUUGAAUAUACCCGAUCUCGUCUGAUCUCGGAAGUCAAGCAAUCUCCGGCUUGGUUAGUGCUUGGAUGGGUGACCGCUUGGGAAUACCAAGUGUGAUAAGCA
rnacentral:rRNA from 1 species